AAACUGCACUGCACUCCUUCAGGUUGGAUUGAUUUCUUGAGUGAUUGUCUUCUCUAUACAGAUUCUGGAAGGGCAAAAUGGCCGAUGACGGCUUCAUAGCGUAUCUAAAUAGCCUUGAUAAGAACGCCCUGAUUGCUUUGGUGAAAGACGACUUAAUGCCGGUGGUGGUGGCCGUCGAUAAGCUGAAAAAAAAAGUACUUGAUUUCCAGGCCCAGGCCCAGGCCCAGGCCAGUAACAACGAAAGGACUACUGCUGCAGUUGGCCCUAAGAUACGGAACCCGAAAAACGGAUAGUAAAAGGCAUGAGGACUAUCUCCAAGAGUCCCAAGAACAAACAAGCAACGGCUAGCUGGAGGAUGAUUCCUAUAUAUUUCUAUUAGUAAAGAAUAAAGAGAUACUAUGUUAUCUCAAACUCGUUUUAUCUUCCAUUUUAUCUUUAUCAGAAUCAUGCACGUAUUAAUUGUAUGCCCGCUAUAAAGCUUGUUGCUUGAGGAAUAAAGAUCGUUGGAGAAUUAUAUUGGGUUUUAA